CGAAACAUGCGGUCUUACAUCACGCGUGGGCUUCGCAUUCUCGCAAUCAGUCGCCAAAUGUUCGUCAAUCAUGAAUCUUAGGAACGGCAAUAAAGCAGCAAAAUGACGAUUCCGGAUAUAUUUCUAUAAUAUAAGAGUUCGCGAGGAACGAUUCUUAUUAUCGAAUAAGAAUUGACGGUUCGUGAAAAAACGAUUAACGCGCCAUUUUUUUGCACUGCAACGCGCAUUCGCUAUGUUGAAGGAUUUCGAGCUCUGAAUAAAGGAAAUAUAACUAUGUCAAUUAAAAAUACAGGUGGACUUCGAUCGUACCUUUGAAAAGGAAUACACCGGACUGGGAGCAACAUUCGGAUUCGUCCAAACAUUAGUCGCACCAGAUUUCCAGGAAGGAAGCCUUCAGCACAAAAUUGCACUUUUCGUGUUCUUGAAGGACUUUGAAUAGGUAGACGAAG